GACGAACGCUGGCGGCGUGCUUAACACAUGCCAGUCGAACGGAAAGGCCCUGCUUGCAGGGUACUCGAGUGGCGAACGGGUGAGUAACACGUGGGUGAUCUGCCCUGCACUUCGGGAUAAGCCUGGGAAACUGGGUCUAAUACCGGAUAGGAGCCAUUUUUAGUGUGAUGGUUGGAAAGUUUUUUCGGUGUAGGAUGAGCUCGCGGCCUAUCAGCUUGUUGGUGGGGUAAUGGCCUACCAAGGCGGCGACGGGUAGCCGGCCUGAGAGGGUGGUCGGCCACAUUGGGACUGAGAUACGGCCCAGACUCCUACGGGAGGCAGCAGUGGGGAAUAUUGCACAAUGGGCGCAAGCCUGAUGCAGCGACGCCGCGUGGGGGAUGACGGCCUUCGGGUUGUAAACUCCUUUCGCUAGGGACGAAGCUUUUUGUGACGGUACCUAGAUAAGAAGCACCGGCUAACUACGUG
rnacentral:rRNA from 1 species